rnacentral:rRNA from 1 species
AGUGAACGCUGGCGGUAGGCCUAACACAUGCAAGUCGAACGGCAGCACAGUAAGAGCUUGCUCUUACGGGUGGCGAGUGGCGGACGGGUGAGGAAUACAUCGGAAUCUACUUUUUCGUGGGGGAUAACGUAGGGAAACUUACGCUAAUACCGCAUACGACUUACGGGUGAAAGCAGGGGAUCUUCGGACCUUGCGCGAUUGAAUGAGCCGAUGUCGGAUUAGCUAGUUGGCGGGGUAAAGGCCCACCAAGGCGACGAUCCGUAGCUGGUCUGAGAGGAUGAUCAGCCACACUGGAACUGAGACACGGUCCAGACUCCUACGGGAGGCAGCAGUGGGGAAUAUUGGACAAUGGGCGCAAGCCUGAUCCAGCCAUACCGCGUGGGUGAAGAGGGCCUUCGGGUUGUAAAGCCCUUUUGUUGGGAAAGAAAAGCAGCAGGUUAAUACCCCGCUGUUCUGACGGUACCCAAAGAAUAAGCACCGGCUAACUUCGUG